ACUCGAGCGCGGGUUUGCCCGUGCGUGCGUCGAGGACGACGCUGCGCGAGCGGCGCUUGGCAUCAGGGGCCCGGAGAGGCUUUUCCUCUUGUCUCUAGUUUUGUUGUUUUAAACUCCCUACCGCGAAAAGCAAGCAAAAGGCCUGCGGAUAAGGGGGAACUAGAGGAGGAGUUUAAUAUAACCCUCCCUCGAGUGAGGGGCGAAGAUGGCCCAGGCUUCAGAGUGUGACAGCGAUGAAACGGUGAUUGAGGGGUCGGUGACAGAGAACGAACUGGAAGAUGAGGAGCUGCCCUGGAGAAGGUUGCUCUUGAAUCGAGACACGUCUUUUAAAUCUGAGUUCUGUCUUCAUUCUGGUGUAAAUGGAAUGUGGAAAGGCAUGCCCUCUCCAGAGAUCCAGCUUGGGCUCAGAUUUGGAAAGGACUCAGAAGAGCAAAAGAAUAAAAAUAAGGUGAUGCCGACUCUCAGUGAGGACCUGGUGUUGCAGGAUCCUCAAGAUGAAGCAACACAAAAUCAAGUUCUGUUACAAGAAGAAUUCCCAGCAUGCACUCUGCCGUUUCCUCACCCUGAAUUUUCAUGGAGCCACCGAAAGACCGGAGGUCCUGAAGCUGAAAAUGGUGAAAAUUUACCACGUCCAGGAAAGGAACUAAGUGAAAACACAGAUUCCCCUGAAAUUAGUCUUCUCUCUGGUACUUCACUUAUGGCAUCAGAUUUGGUUAUACCAAAGGAGAAAUCAUUAGAAAAGCCAGUGAAGACCUUAGCUGUACCAAAUACAUUUUUUGAGCCUGAACAGGAAGUAACACAGACCAUGACAUCUAAAGAAACCAAAGAUGAAGAAAGCUCUCUUGAAACAUUUGUGUCUGCUUUAGAAAGAUUACUAGAAUCACCAGAAGGCACCCAAGAAGAAACACUGCGUGAAACAGCGAAUGACUUCAAACUUGAAGAAUUGAUGAACCCAUUGAGUUCUGUGUCAGUCCCUUUGAAAGCCUUGCCAGCAUGUUGUAGAGAUGUACUAGAAAACACGAAGAGUGAUGAUGCAUUGCCUGCUGAAUUGCUGGCAACCAUCAACAUGCUACCAGGUGGCGAUGUAGAACCUGGACCUGUAGGACCCAUCUGUCGAGGACAAGAGAAAAGCAGCAGUGUUAGUGGUGGAAAUGGAUGUUUAGAAGUGCAGCCUACCGUGUCUAAGAUAGAUGAAGACUGCACACAAAUAGCACAGACUAUAGAAGACCCAAAACCAUUUAGAUUGCAGACAAAGACUCAUGAAAAUACCACGUCUUAUGAGCAACUAAAUGAUAAGGGAAAUUCAGAUACCGUGAAAAAUACCUCUGUCCAGGAAACACCCCAUGUACUCAGAAGAUCAUCUAGACUGGAAAAACUGAAAGCAAGCAGAGAUGUGGCACAUACAGAUGUGUUGAAAAUGCCAGAAAGUAUUACAUCAAAACCACUUAGUUAUGAGGAUCAAAUACAUAACAUAUUUGCAACUGAGAAUUUCAGAAUGCAGGGUUCAGUUUUAAAGACUGGCAGUAAGAGGAAGAAUAUGCAUUUAUCCAGAUUCAGGAGUGAACAGAGAAAGAAAAAUGAACAACUUAAAAUAAAAAAUGGAAAAAGGAAGAUGAAUAAAAUGUGUCUUUGUUGUAUAAAACGAAGAAACGUUUUUGGAGAGGAUUUACUAUAUAAAGCUGCUCUCCAUAAUGAUGUUGAUCUGGUUCGCUGUUGCAUAAAAAAUGGUGGAAAUCUCAAUCAGCCGAGUUAUGCUGCUCAAAGGAAGAGCACUGACCCAGCAUAUGUAGACGAUAUAUUCCAGUACAAGAAACCAAAAUUAAGUUCUAAUAAUCACACUGAGUUUAUUUGUGGUGAAAAUUCUAAUAGACAGGAACCAGAAUAUGUAGAAAUCAAUAAAGAAAGAAACAAUUUAUUUGUAAAUAAGGAAUAUGUAUAUGAACAUUGCCAGAAAAAUACCAUAGAAUUUGGAAAUUCCAAGCCUAGGCAAUCAACUAUUGACCAAAUAGACUCUACAGGGCUCAGAAGGAGCAGAGUCCACAGUGUGAAAGACAGCAGACCUAAUGUGUCUAAAAGUAAAAGGGGAAGAAAUACACAACAUAAAAAGACUCAAGAAGAUGACAAAGACUACAGUUUAAGUCAGGGAACAGCUAUUUCCUCUUCUAGGGGAAUGGGUAAAUUAGUCACUCAGCAGCAUCAUACCACUCUAACCCUUGAUGACCUUCCAAAAGAGUCUUGUGAACUUUCUACCCCAGCUCUACCAAGCUUGAAAAAUGGUGCAGAUAACAAUAAUGAGGCUUGUUUACAUUCCAAAAAGCCAAAUACCCACAACCUGGAUUUAUCAGAUAGUCAAAAAAUGCAGUUCUUAGACUUAGAGUCCAUUGAUCAAACUAAAGCUGUUUCCUUUUCUGAACUUUCAUUAUAUAAAGAAAUAAAAUUACCACAUGUAACUGCAGAUCAACAACCUCACACUAACCAAGAGCAAUGCAGUAGCCCAUGUAAGUCCCCUGAAAACCAUAGCACAGAUGAAAAAGGCAAGAACAUUAAUGAAUGGGAAGAUUCUUUCCUCUCCUUCAUAAAAGGACGCUUUGCUGACAGCGAUAGUGAUUGCCACAACUCUGUCAAGUCUGUGGCAUCUCGGGAAGAGUGCAUGGCCAUCUGUCCUAAUGAGGAAACCACAACAGAUGGAGAAGAAAUGAACUCUCCAUUGUUUUUAUCUUCUGAAAACUAUUCUUCACAGAAAAAUGAGCUAAAAGCAGGUGGCCUAACUACCUAUCCACAGGAGAAAGGUGUUAACUAUUGUUCUUUGAACAAUACAUUAAUUUAUGAACAACCUAUUCCAAAUCAUAAACAGUGUACAUAUGGGAUUUCUUUUGAUCACUCAUAUGCAAUUUCUGAGCACCAUUCUACGUCUUGUACACGACCACCUUCAAAACAGAAAGUUUCACAAUUGACUGGUCAAGUGGAGCUAUUAAAAGUGUUCCAGACUAAUUCCCACAGUGAGCCAACAGCCAAUACAUAUAAUGUGGAAAAGAAGCAAGACACUGAGAGGAAUUAUACCGUAGAAGACCAAAAACCAAGUUCUUCACAUAGUCCUUUACACACUCAUUCUCAAGUAAUAGAAGUAACUAAAGCUGAAGAAAGGAGACAAGACCUUCCAGAGAAUGAGCUCGUGAACAAUACAGAUUUUCAUUCCACUGACAAUGUGAAUAAAGAAUUGGCCAACUCUUCACACCUUGAUCAAGGAGAAGAGAAGGAAAUUGCUCACAAAUCAGAUGAGGAGUUCACUACUAAUGCCAGUAGAGCUGAAAGAACUGUGAGAAACUGCAGAGAGAAAGAGGAAAAUGUGGGUUCAGCAACUCACAUGCCUUGUGAUACCCAAGACCACAGAAGAGACCAGAAUUUCAGAGAAAGAAAAGGUUCCUUGAAAGCUCCCUGCAGCCAAGUUGCAGAAGUGAACACAGCUGGAAUCAGGAAGAGGAAUGCCAAAGGAGAGAGCCUGCUGCAUGUGGCUUCCAGAGGAGGAGACCUGUCCCUAGUGAAGGUUCUAAUAGCAUCUGGAGCAGACGUAAAUAUAAAAGAUAAUACAGGUUGGACACCCCUUCAUGAGGCAUCUAGUGAGGGAUUUAAUGAUGUAAUUGUUGAGCUAUUAAAAGCUGGUGCAAAUAUAAACUGUGAAAAUGUAGAUGGAAUGCUUCCUUUACAUGGCGCUGCUGUGGGGAAUCAUUUAAAGACAGCUGAGAUACUCCUAGAACAUGGAGCAAACCCUAAUCAGAAAGAUCAGAAACAGAGGACUGCUUUGGAGAAAGCAGAUGAUGAAAAAAUGAAAGACCUACUAAGAUCUUAUGGGGCUGUUGAAACCAGUCAUGGAGAUGAGAUCAGCUCUACAGUGGCUGUAAAACAUCCUGCUCUCCGCCCAAAAAGAUAUAAGCCAUGUCCUUGUGAUGAUGGAAAAGCCAUUGCUCCUCCUUCGUCCUUACACAAAGCGAAGAGAAGUGAAAACCUCCCUGCGCAUCAGACCAUCAGUGCUAUUUUACAAGACAUAGAAGAAAAACAAGAAAACUUAUUAAAGCUUGAAAUAAGAGACUCUGAAGAUGCAGAACAAUACAUUGGAAAGAUGUUAGAGAUAAAAGAAGUUAUGGAUGAUAUACUUGCUCAACAGAAGACAGAAAGGGAUGAUCUAGCUAAAAAAUACAGGGUAUCCAUGGAGUCAUUUAAGCAUGGAGCCCUGAGAGAACAACUGUCUAACUUGGCCACAAGACAAAAGAGGCUUUUAGUUGUGGCAAAGAAACAGAAAAAGAUAAGACUGAAAAUUCAAAACUAUAAGAAUUCCAAGCCAUUGUCUGGUAUUAGGAAGCGUACAUGUAGCUCAGACAUCUCUAGUGAGAAGAAGAGCCGAGAGUCUCCUAGUCUGAAAAACUCAGUAUAUCCCCAGUCAGACUUACUUUCACCUGUCAGUCUUGCUGCUAUUUCUCCUGUCAAUAGAAACAUGGAAGAAAUACCAUUGUCGAUGGAAAUGGAAAUAGAACUCUCUGGAAAUGAGAUGAAUUCUAAACAAAAUGUCCAGUAUUGUGCCUUGGAUGGACUAUUGAAAUCCAGACUCACAGAUGGCACUGAGAAAAGUGAAUUAUCAUCCCAGCCUGUUGCUUUUGUUCCUCAAGCAGGAAAUUCACAAGCAGAAAGUUUAACAGAAACUUUGGUCAAAGGCUAUGAACUUGAUGGUUCUCCUGCAGUAACUGGCACUGUAAGUAUUUCAGAAGAUAAAAGUAUGCUUUCCCAAAAUGAUGCCUGUCCACCAACUGUUCCUCAGAAUUUGGACCUUUCCUGUUGUAAUCCGAAAAGAAGAAACAAGAAAGCAGCUUCCGAUAAACCAUCUGUAGGAGCAUCAGAACCUCUGGCUCAUCAAGUGGUUACUGUCUUAGACACUGAUAUUGUGCAGCAUGCGAAUAGCGUUCCGAUCCCUCCUUCCUCUGGGUCUGCUCGUCAACAACCUAUUAAAAAGACGCCUCACCACAGCACAGCUCCUAAAAAGAAAAAUAUACAGCUGAAAGAUUUGCUUUUACGUGGAAGAAUUAAUACAGGAAAGGACAUUCUGGAAUUCAAAACACAGGAGACUACCCACAAAGCCAGUAUUUUACUGAAUGGUAAACUUAAGGUAGAAAACGGGCAGAUUUAUCAGAACCCAGUUACCUGGCUCAAGGAUCUUCUGGGAGGUGGCAAUUAUGUGACCUGGAAUUAUGCUUGGAGUAAGGUAACAUACCUGGGAAAGGAGCUUUUGAAGUAUGUUUCUGAAGAAGAGCCUGUUCCUCCAGAGCCAUGUAACACACCUCAGCAGCAACAGCCUUGCCUUCCAGGUACAUGUAGCACAAUACCUAUUUUGUAGUCGUGACAUGUGAGUAUCCAGACUUACAGGAAAAGUCCUACUUCUUUCUCCCCAAUUUUAACAUAAAAAUCAAAUGGUACUUAGUAUAUUCACAGUGCGAGCAACCACUGCCUCUGUGUAGUUUCAGAACACUGUUGUGGUCUCCAAAGACUCCUCUUCCAAGUCAGCAGUUACUCCCCAUCCUCUACAUCCCACAUCCCUAGGAGCUGCUUUCUAUGAAUGGAUGUGUUAUUCUAAAUGUUUUAUAAAGUGGAAUAAUGCACCAUGGCGUGACAUCUUCUCAAGUCAUUUUUAUAACACACAUCACACCCACAGCUAUUUCUAGGAAAGUCCAGCAAACCUUUCUCCUCCUACUUUCUAACCUGGAAAUCAAAAAAGAGCUAGCUGUAUAUUUUUGUUUAUAUCAUGAUGGCCAUCUGCUUCUCAUUUGUUCCCCUAUUUCUUAUAAUAUAAACAAUUUCUUACUAUUAAUUUCUUUCCAAAAAUCCUGAUUUUCUUUACUUCAGAUACUUUCAGAAAUGUGUAUGCUAAUUUGAAAGCUGUAGAUGUACCAGCAGGGCAUCCAACUUUUCUCUAAUUGAUAUAAGCCUGUAAAAUCACAGACAGGCCCUUAAGAGAUGCAAUAGGCUGUUGUUGGAGUUGCAUUUUAAUUUUCUUGUUUAUUGAUUUUAUUGAGCUAUACAUUUGCUUCCCUCCUUUCUUCUCCCCUCCCCUCCCCUCCAACCCUCUCCCAUGGUUAGGAUUUUUGUGUCCCUAUUUUAUACCUGACAGUAUAAGUUAAAAAAUAUAAAAUGCUUUAACCCAACUGCAAGAGAAACAUUCAAGAGAGAAUAUUUCUCUUUUCUUACACAUUAAGUUAGGGAAAUAAAGACUUGUCUUUGACAUGGUAGAGACCAGACCAACCCAUGUGGGGACUUCAUGAGCCCACCCCAGAUCAUAAGCACAAUCUGUUCUCUUAUGUUUCCAGUGACCAUUCUUCAAAGAGUGUUUUUAGGAGAAAUGAGGAAAAGGGGAGUUAGAAAGAGCAUUUUACACCUCUUACAGCUAGGACAGCUGUUGGUGGUUGUUUUGCUCUUCUUACCCUUUUGGGUUUUUUUGGGGGGGGCAGCAACCAGCCCCCAAGUAAAUCACACGUGGAGUCUUAUUCUUUCUUAUAAAUGCCCAGCCUAAGCUUGGCUUAUUCCAGACCAGCUUUUCUUAACUUAAAUCCCCCAUCUGUCUUUGCCUCGGGGCGCGCACCUCUCCCUUCUGUGCGUCCCGCUCUCUCACUCUCACUCUGUGGCCAGCUGGGCGGCUGCCCCUUCUUUCCUUGCUGCUUGAUGACUCUUUCUUCUCCUAUGUCUGUUCUCUCUGCCUGCCAGCCCCGCCUAUCAUUUCUUCCUGCCUCGCUGUUGGCCCUUCAGCUCUUUAUUAGACCAUCAGGUAUUUUAGGCAGGCAAAGAAUCACAGCUUCACAGAGUUAAACAAUGCAACAUAAAAGAAUGCAACACAUCUUUGCAUCAUUAAACAGAUAUUCCACAGCAUAAACAAAUGUAUGACAUCUUAAAAGAAUAUUCCACGACAGAUGGUCAUGUAUUUAGGUUUGACCAAAGCAAUAUCUAAGCCACAAAAACUAUUAUAGAAGUGUAUUGCUUCAAUGACUCAGUAUAAAAGCCAAGUAAACUGCUGUUUAAGAAAAUAAAACCUGGAAGAAGGGAAGCUGAGACUGUUUUCACCUCUUUUAUAAGUAGUGUAUAUAGACCUUAAAACACUGCAAAUAGAGAAUCAAACCUUAUGCCUGUCAUUCUCAUUAUCAGUCAUUGCUGACUGCUUAGCUUUAUCCUUCUGAGAGAUUGAAGAGGCCUUUGAGUUCACAAAGAUUUUUAUAGGCUCUUAUUUCAUCUACUCCCCAAUGUUUACCACACCUUAGCUUCCAAUAAAUAUCCAUUAAUUAAUAUUCAUUGAAUGUAUGAAUAGAUGAAUGUACGCAUGAAUAUAAUCCAAAGAACUCUUCGAGUUGGAUGAUCUUAAUAAGUAGGCGUGUCAAGAUCUCAAAGACUAUAAUAGAAUUUGAAGGAAUUCAACAAAUGAAACACCAUCGUACUAUGGACACAUCAAGGUAUUAAGUCUUUCCUUAGUUCGGAAUCCUGGUGAUUGAAUUCUCUCUAGAAACUAUAACCAACACACUUUGGAUAACUCUUCAUCCUGUCAAGGUCAUGGUGAACACCAAGCAUCCUGCGACCUGUUGAAAUAAUUGUUGAUCCUUUGUCAUGGGAAGAAUUUGGUUUGUCUCUGGUUCCUGGCACAGAACUCCUUCCUUAAGCCUUUGGAAUUUCCCAAAUGAAAAGGAUGAUGCUGAUGUCUUUUUCUGAGAUGGAUCGUGACUGGCUCCUGGAUAGCAUCAAGAGAGGAGCUGAUCUUCAGAGAGACCAAGCUUUGAUUGGAGACUUAGAUCCUUCAACUCUGUCUUCAGGCUUUAUGAAAGAGAAGAGCUAAUAUUGAGUUAACCACUAGUGGCCAGUGAUUUAACCAGUUACUCUAGGCUUGUGAAAAAGUAGGUAUGCGAAAGCAGGAACAUGGGGUAACCCCUUUUACUUCAUGGCUAGCAUGGCCAAGAAGCAAAAAAGAGAGGAGGUAUGGUCCUGCAGUAUCCAGGGGCAUGUCUUCAGCAUCCUAAGAACCUUACUUAAUGUAGGCCCCACUUUUCAGAGGUUUCACCACCACCUCUCAACACUAUUACGCAGAGUCAGACUGUCAACAUAAAGGCCUGUGGAAGACGUUCAAGAGUCAAACUGCAAGAGCCAUCGAGUUGUUGUGAGACAGUUGGUCAGUUGAUAGGAGGGAAAAAUAACAAAAGUCAAAAUGUCAAAAAUGCUGGGAGUAAAUAGAGCUCUUAGAAUGAAAUACAUCUACAGGUCUAAUAUGGUGUUUUCCAUUUCGAACCAGACUAAGUCAAGUUUCGUUCCAAAAUCCUAAUGAAAUGUAGUGCUUAGCUCAUAAGGCCAAGUCCUAGAAGUCUGAGUUAAACUUCACCACAUGCAAAUAUGAACUUGGGGCCUGGUAUACAGCUAAUAAAUAUAAGAAUUAGAGAGGUAAAAUAGGUUAAAUGAAAAGAACUGAUAGAUUAGUGAGAUUUCAGAAGUAAGCUGAGUUGGAAAAACAAAUCUGAUGAUUUUUAUUUUUGUUCUAUUAAGUGAAAAAAAUUAAAACGUGGGGGAAAAGCCAAAAAAUAAAAAUUACUUUCAACCUAACCAAAUUAACGUAUUUGCUGAAGUACUAAUUCUGGUAACUAGCUAACAUGAAAGUUGCCUUAAUAUUAUUUUGCCUAGUUAGUGAACCUAGCAAUUCAGUUUGAAUAUAGUUGUAGAAUAGAUAGCAUCUGGUACUGUUACCUGAGGAAGAUUUAUUUCUCCCCACCCCAUUCAUGGACGUAACAGGCCCUGGCCUACACAGUCCGUGUUGGAAAGGGAGCAUAACAAGAUUAUUAAGCAUUCACUUCCAUGUGCUACUGUUUGUUUAUAGACCUCAGAUGCCAAGAAUCCUGUUAAGAAUUACACCUCAGUAAAAAUGCAAAUUAAAGGAUAAGGUGUUUCUACCUAUCAA